ensembl:lncRNA
UUUUUUCAAUUUUAUAGAUGACAUAGAUGGGAUGGCUACUGGAUCACAGCAACUCCCUGAUGCUUCCACAUUGCGAGAUGACCAGGGAAAUGAUGCCUGUUUGACUUCUGGUUCACCUCCUGUCCCUGACUCAGUUACUAAAGGUUUACGUGUUUCAUCAAGGCGGUGUGUGAAGACACCAUGGUCUGAGGAGGAGAUAGGAGCGGUGAUGAAACAUAUGAAGCCUUUUAUUGAAAACGGUAUCACUGUCACCAACCAGCAGUGUCUGAAGUGCAAAGAAAAGGAACAACCUAUCUUGGAGACGAGAUCUAUUCAAAACAUUCGAGAUUUUGUGCGCAACAGAGGACUGGCCUUUAAAAAAAAUAAAUAAAUGUUAAACACUAAAUGCACUUUUUGACAGUCUGAGCCUUUACCUUUCUGGGCCUGAUUUCAAGGUUAGUGUUCUCCAUUCAAAAAGUAUGUAGUUGACUUCACUGUGCUCACAGGCAGUGUUUUGUUUUGAUGUGUGGUUAGCCUGAGUCUUUUAAUGCCAGGAUUCACUUUUAUUUUCCUUCAAUAAUUGUUACAAUGCUGUCCUUUUAAUGAAUUGAUUAUUGAGUUGGUUAUAUUAAAUAUAGUUCAGUAAUUCAACAAAUGUGUUGUGUGUUGAUAUAAGUCUUAUGUAUAAGUCAUGGUGUCAGCCCGACUCACCCCUGGUGUGCAAAGGUGCUGUUUUAUUGGUCAGCCACUCAGUGCCAGUUUCUUCAGGACAAUGAAAAACUCUAUAAUACAUAGUUUGUUCUAGUUGAUGCAAGCACUGUUGUGUUAUGCUUCUAGUUGUUUUAAUGACACUUUGACCACCUGUUAGUAGAUCACAACAGAUAUGAUCUGUGGUGUUUUAUGUAAGCUUGUAUGUCAGAUUGUAAUGCUCAUCAGAGAAAACCAAAAUAUAGUCUUUUUAUUAUUUUUUAAUUUAUUCAUCCAUCCAUCCAUCUUCAACCGCUUAUCCGAGGCCGGGUCGCGGGGGCAGCAGCCUAAGCAAAUUUAUUCAAUUUUACUAUAAUGAUGUAUCAGUCACAGUCUUAUAAUACACCUUCUUUUCUAAGAAGGUUAUACUUAGUGCAUGUGUGAGUAUAUGUACAGUGAACUGGCUUUACACACCAUGUGUCCUUUUAAACCAGAUUUACUCAGUGUGUGUGUGUGUGUGUACAGUAGACUGGCUUUACACACCAUGUGUCCUUUUAAACCAGAUUUACUCAGUGUGUGUGUGUGUGUGUACAGUAGACUGGCUUUACACACCAUGUGUCCUUUUAAACCAGAUUUACUCAGUGUGUGUGUGUGUGUGUGUGUGUACAGUAGACUGGCUUUAUACACCAUGUGUCCCUUCAGAACAGACUAUACUUUGUGUAUAUGUAUGAUGACAUCACUGACCUUGUACACCAGACUGUCCUUAUAGACCGAGCUACAGAAAAGUCUCUACAAACCACCAGAAUGUCUGAAAAAAUAGCCUUUUUUAUAUCUCAGUCGAGCAAAGAAAAUGUUUAAAUUUUAAGUUGUGUAUAGGUUUGCUGAUUUUUUUCAUGAUUUUUGAUAUGCAUAUUGUAGCUCUAGCACCUCUGGAACCCGGUGUCCCCAUAGCCCUAUGUCCACUCUAAUUUGCCAAAAAUUUCAGAAAUUGUCCCUCUAACCCAAGAAACGGGUAUGUGUGUGUGUGUGUGUGUGUGUGUGUGUGUGUGUGUGUGUGACCCCAUAAACGACUUCCCUAAACCUGCUGGUCUGGAAGUCCAGCAGUUCAUCUAAACAAAAGGCACUUAGACUAAAACAGAUAUACGUGUGUUUGCUAUACCAUAUAUCAGAAGAGAAGAUACAACCUUGCUCAUGAUCCCAAGACGUGUGUGAACUAUGCCAGAACACUCUGAGGAGGAGUGAACACCCUCCCCUCUUCAUGCUACACAGAGUUGUUACAGACCUCCUAGGAUGAGACAUUCUUUCAAUCUAUAAAUGAUUAUAUACUUCUAAACAUAUAUGAGUAGAUAUUUCUAAGCAUAAAUGACAACCAACAAUACAACUCUAACAAUGACAGCACUCCUGUAUGUGAACACCACAGCCCAGCGUUUACAGACUUUUAAAAGCUUUGUAAGAAAAACUAUUUAAACAUGAAGGAAGUAUAAAAACUAACAUUGU